UAACGGCUCACCAAGGCGAAGAUCGGUAGCCGGCCUGAGAGGGCGCACGGCCACACUGGAACUGAAACACGGUCCAGACUCCUACGGGAGGCAGCAGUGGGGAAUUUUGCGCAAUGGGCGAAAGCCUGACGCAGCGACGCCGCGUGGGGGAUGAAGCUUCUCGGAGUGUAAACCCCUUUCGACCCGGACGAAACGCCCGCAAGGGCCUGACGGUACGGGUAUAAGAAGCCCCGGCUAACUACGUGCCAGCAGCCGCGGUAAGACGUAGGGGGCCAGCGUUGCUCGGAAUUACUGGGCGUAAAGGGUGCGUAGGCGGUGCGGUAAGUCUUCUGUGAAAAAACCGGGCUCAACUAGGAGUCUGCAGGAGAAACUGCCGUGCUUGAGUAUGGGAGAGGUGAGUGGAAUUCCUGGUGUAGCGGUGAAAUG
rnacentral:rRNA from 1 species